UACGGAGGGAGCAAGCGUUACUCGGAAUUAUUGGGCGUAAAGGGCGCGUAGGCGAUUCGAUAAGUCUCAUGUGAAAUCCCAGGGCCUAACCCUGGAAUGGCAUGGGAUACUGUUGGAUUUGAGUUCCGGAGAGGAAGGCAGAAUUCCCGGUGUAGCGGUGAAAUGCGUAGAUAUCGGGAGGAAUACCAGUGGCGAAGGCG
rnacentral:rRNA from 1 species